GACGAACCGGGCGAACGUUGUUCGGAAUCACUGGGCUUAAAGGGCGCGUAGGCGGGCUGUCAAGUCUGGGGUGAAAUGCCGCGGCUCAACCGUGGAACUGCCUUAGAUACUGACGGCCUCGAGGAAGGUAGGGGCAUGCGGAACUGUAGGUGGAGCGGUGAAAUGCGUUGAUAUCUACAGGAACUCCGGUGGCGAAAGCGGCGUGCUGGACCUUUUCUGACGCUGAGGCGCGAAAGCUAGGGGAGCAAACGGG
rnacentral:rRNA from 1 species